rfam:Helobdella robusta unplaced genomic scaffold HELROscaffold_4233, whole genome shotgun sequence.
UAUGGGCUGUAUUAAUUACUGCAGUUUUAUUACUUCUAUCAUUACCAGUAUUAGCCGGUAAACUAAUUCUGCCGGCUUUAAAUUCGGCUAUUUGCUGGGAACUGUUUGAUAAUUAUACAUUAUGUCAAACACAAUCAGCAGGAAACCCAUUAGAUUUGAAUCUUUUGGGGAUCUUCAGAGACUACACGCCGGAAUUAAUCUGUUGUACUAUUCUACCUGUAUCCCAAUUAAAACCCAAUAAAGUCAAUAAAGACUGGCCCGCGCGUAGCGCGGG